rnacentral:piRNA from 1 species
UGAAACGCAACAUUAUACCCUAAAUGUCCAC